rnacentral:rRNA from 1 species
CCUACGGGAGGCAGCAGUGGGGAAUAUUGCACAAUGGGCGCAAGCCUGAUGCAGCGACGCCGCGUGAGGGAUGACGGCCUUCGGGUUGUAAACCUCUUUCAGUAGGGAAGAAGCGAAAGUGACGGUACCUGCAGAAGAAGCGCCGGCUAACUACGUGCCAGCAGCCGCGGUAAUACGUAGGGCGCAAGCGUUAUCCGGAAUUAUUGGGCGUAAAGAGCUCGUAGGCGGUUUGUCGCGUCUGCCGUGAAAGUCCGGGGCUCAACUCCGGAUCUGCGGUGGGUACGGGCAGACUAGAGUGAUGUAGGGGAGACUGGAAUUCCUGGUGUAGCGGUGAAAUGCGCAGAUAUCAGGAGGAACACCGAUGGCGAAGGCAGGUCUCUGGGCAUUAACUGACGCUGAGGAGCGAAAGCAUGGGGAGCGAACAGGAUUAGAUACCCUUG